CGUUGGGAGCUCUCCCAUAUGGUCGACCUGCAGGCGGCCGCGAAUUCACUAGUGAUUCGUAUUACCGCGGCUGCUGGCACGGAGUUAGCCGGAGCUUAUUCUCCCGGUACUGUCAUUAUCAUCCCGGGUAAAAGAGCUUUACAACCCUAAGGCCUUCAUCACUCACGCGGCAUUGCUGGAUCAGGCUUUCGCCCAUUGUCCAAUAUUCCCCACUGCUGCCUCCCGUAGGAGUCUGGGCCGUGUCUCAGUCCCAGUGUGGCUGAUCAUCCUCUCAGACCAGCUAAGGAUCGUCGCCUUGGUGCGCCUUUACCACACCAACUAGCUAAUCCUACGCUGGCUCAUCCCUCGGCGAUAAAUCUUUGGACUUAUCGACAUCAUCCGGUAUUAGCAGUCAUUUCUAACUGUUAUUCCGAACCUAAGGGCAGAUUCCCACGCGUUACGCACCCGUGCGCCACUAUGCCCGAAAGCAUCGUUCGACUUGCAUGUGUUAGGCAUGCCGCCAGCGUUCGUUCUGAGCCAUGAUCAAACUCUAAUCGAAUUCCCGCGGCCGCCAUGGCGGCCGGGAGCAUG
rnacentral:rRNA from 1 species